rnacentral:sRNA from 1 species
UACCCAGGAAUUAGCGGUAUGGUUUAAAA